rnacentral:rRNA from 1 species
UCGAGAAUCUUGGGCAAUGGGCGAAAGCCUGACCCAGCAAUGCCGCGUGCGGGAUGAAGGUCUUCGGAUUGUAAACCGCUGUCACUGGGGACGAAUUUUGACGGUACCUGGAGAGGAAGACACGGCUAACUACGUGCCAGCAGCCGCGGUAAUACGUAGGUGUCAAGCGUUGUUCGGAUUUAUUGGGCGUAAAGGGUCCGCAGGUGGUUUGGUAAGUCUGAUGUGAAAUCCCAGAGCUCAACUCUGGAACUGCAUUGGAAACUGCUGAACUUGAGUAUCGGAGAGGAGAUUGGAAUUCCAGGUGUAGCGAUAAAAUGCGUAGAUAUCUGGAAGAACACCGAAAGCGUAGGCAGAUCUCUGGACGAUUACUGACACUCAGGGACGAAAGCAUGGGGAGCAA